UUAUGUUUUUUACCUUUUUAACCUUCAUUUCAAGGAUUAGAGUUUUGGGAAAGAGAUUAGGUCUGAUAGUGGGACUGACGGCGAUCAAUCGGCAGUCGGACCGGCAUCUCGAGCACUAUUUGUAUCGUCUCUUCCAUUUCAUUUUCUUGCCGAUUUAUUUAUGUAGCCGGUAUUACUUUCGUUGCUAUUGCGGUGGCUCCUCCGUCAGAUGCUAGGGUGCAGAUUGUAAGUGCUUUUAAUUCCUACGGUGGUGCCAUACAAAGCAUCUAAAAGCAAUGGGAGUGCCGCCGAGGUGAGGACUGUUGCCUAAUCAAGCUUAUAACCAUUGAUUACAAUACUGGCAAGGAACAAGCAGUAGUCAUUGAGUGUGGAGGCCAUGAUGUUGCUUGCUUCAAUAACAUUGAUCAUGUUCAUGGUUGGGAAAGUGAUAUUAUAGCUAUGACACAACAAACGUGGAAAAGUGAAAAUAUUGAUAUUUCAUAUUGUAUGUGAAUCACUGAAAGAUGAUAAAUUUACAUAAGAGCACAUAAAAAAGUUUAUGCCAAAAUUGGUUGGGAGGCUAUAUGUAAUAUCUUUGCUCCUCAACACCUUUUCGAUGAUCAUGCGGCGGGGACUGCUUAACAAGAUGUUGAGGUUUACGACAUUUUGUAGCUAUAGUCAUGAAUCGGGUGGAACAUAGUGGAAUUUGACUCCAACUUGUAUAGAGAGGUUCAUAUUUGAAUUUGACAGGUUGAAGGUUAAGAGCUCAAGAGUAGAAAUGUAAAAAUCAAGAUUGAUAAUGAAAUUUUCCAAUAAGCUUUAA